rnacentral:rRNA from 1 species
UACGGAGGGAGCUAGCGUUGUUCGGAAUUACUGGGCGUAAAGCGCACGUAGGCGGCUAUUCAAGUCGGGGGUGAAAGCCCGGGGCUCAACCCCGGAAUAGCCUUUGAGACUGCAUCGCUUGAACAUCGGAGAGGUAAGUGGAAUUCCGAGUGUAGAGGUGAAAUUCGUAGAUAUUCGGAAGAACACCAGUGGCGAAGGCGACUUACUGGACGAUUGUUGACGCUGAGGUGCGAAAGCGUGGGGAGCAAACAGG